rnacentral:rRNA from 1 species
GAUGAACGCUAGCUACAGGCUUAACACAUGCAAGUCGCGGGGCAGCAUGGGGGUUGCUUGCAAUCCCCGAUGGCGACCGGCGCACGGGUGAGUAACGCGUAUCCAACCUGCCCUUCACCACGGGAUAACCCGGCGAAAGUCGGACUAAUACCGUAUGUUGUCCAUUGACGGCAUCCGAUUUGGACGAAAGGUUUGGCGGUGAAGGAGGGGGAUGCGUCCGAUUAGCUGGACGGCGGGGUGACGGCCCACCGUGGCGACGAUCGGUAGGGGUUCUGAGGGGAAGGUCCCCCACACUGGAACUGAGACACGGUCCAGACUCCUACGGGAGGCAGCAGUGAGGAAUAUUGGUCAAUGGGCGUAAGCCUGAACCAGCCAAGUAGCGUGCAGGAUGACGGCCCUAUGGGUUGUAAACUGCUUUUAUGCGGGGAUAAAGUGGCCCACGUGUGGGUUUUUGCAGGUACCGCAUGAAUAAGGACCGGCUAAUUCCGUG